UAAUAUAAAUAAUUAAACAUGAUUUUUAUAAUAUAUUAUUAUGAAUUUGAUGAACUAUAAAUUUAUACUUACAUGGCACUGCAGUUAACGAACAAAUAUGAUAUCGCUAUGCUACAUACAACAGAUAGAUAUACAGAACUCACCAAACAAAAAUAAAAAGCUAGAAAUUCUGAUUGCUCUUGACAAAGAACAUAUCAAUGGAUGGAUAACUGCCUUCCUUCGGAGAUGGCUUGUGCUUUUUACGUGUGCUUCGGCCGGACGUACAAGCCUUCUGGGCAAACCUUUGCCUCUGAAUAGAAGUUCUUGAGUUGACGCUAGAUUCCUUUUCCUGAAGCCUCUCAGCAAGAUGAAAAUCAGAGUGUUCUCGUCUUUCCUCGACAAAAUCUGGUGGCAUUUCAAUCCCACAUAAUGAACAUUUGCAGUCAUCUUCCUUAAAACAAUGAUAUUGCCAAUCAGGUGAGAAGACUGCCUCAUUGCCCGUGAUGACCUCUUUGUUUACUAAGUUUGUGUUGCUCGCAUAAAGCUUCUGAGGCAAAGAAGUUUCAGCAUCCUUCGAUUCGAACACUACAGUGUGACAAGAGUUGAAGUUACACUCUACUGUAUCUGCAGUAUUAACAUUCUCUGCAAUGUCGUUGCUUAAAGAUUCAUGAGCUUCCUCUGCUUCAAUGUUAUUACUAAAUGUGCAAUGGUGAUCUUCCAGAUCCUGUUUAUUAGUGCUGUCCCAUGGAUCUCUAGUUUCAUAAUGAUUAAUGUCAUGGCUAUCGGUAGAGAAAGAAGUUUCCAAGUCAUCCAUCAAGGGUUCAUCACUACAAUAUGAACCCAAGGAGCUUCGACCACCCAUAGUUUUCCGAGAUGCAUCUCCUGAUAGAACAAAGUUGGUAAGAGUUCUUUGUGUUGGAUCAGAUGGAGCACCUGCCUUGUCUUCAUUGAAAUGAGAAACCCGCAAUCCUAUCAGUCUUAAAGAAAUAGGAAGUUCAGCCUUUAGCAGCUUUGAAGCAUAUUUCAAUAUUUCUUCACUUGAACAAAUAUAUUUUUGCAAGGUAACAGCUCUGCUUCGAACCUAAAGAAUAAGAAAUGUGAACAAACUUCAGAACAUGAAUGGCACAUUAAUGAUAACUGCAAAGAGAAGACUAGGAUGGAGUUGGAAUAAGAAACUACACGAAGAAAUGUACUGGAGAUAACCACUGUCUGUUGCAAAGGAAAAGGUCUCAUUCCAUUCCUGAUCAAAGAAGAAAUGGGUUUAAGUUUUUGGGGCAGCCAUUUAUUUUAAAAUGCUGAGUGUCAAGGCCACCUCCAAGGCACUCAACCCUGUUUUUCCAGGUUCAACAGUAGGCAAUGCCUCUUUUUUGUAUAUAUAGAAGUAGGAGCACCCUCCUUACUUCCAUCCCAGCCCAAGUCCCAACUCCCAACCCCAAUUCUUCCCCAGGCAGAUGAUAAGAGGAGAAGGGUCACAGAAUAGCAGAGAAUCGCAUAAGAAUUAGGGAUGUGCAUUAUUUGGUUAAAACUGGACCAAACCAACAAAACUCAAUCAUUUCGGUACAAGGUUUUAGAUUCAGAUUAGUCAGUAAUUUCUUAAAUAUUGGUUUGCUAUUAUGCUUUAUUUCAAAAAGGGCAUCGAAAUAACUGUUUUUAAUUUAUCAAUAUAUAGAUAACAAUGUUAAAAAUUAUAAAAUAUUUAUAAGGACUUUUUACUAAUAAUAUAUAAUCUUCAUAUUUUAUAUUAGGUUUGGUUAAGUUUGUUAUCAAAUCUGAUUCGGUUAACAAAAUGUUCACUCCUACCAAAAUCAUUGAUUUAAACCUUCCAAUUUGUCCUCGAGUAUUUUUUAGAAAACACCAGCAAUAAAGUAUCAGAACUACCUCAAAAGAUGCAGUUUUCAAUUUGAGAGUCAGUGUCCGACCACGAAGACCUUCUUUUUGCAUGUCCCUACAUAGCAUCUCUGCUAUAUCAGCUGCAACUUGAAGGAAUUUUGGUUACUUUUCUAUACCUUUGAAUGUUAGGCAAAACCUAAGUGGAAGAAUUUAUUAGCAUUGAUGCCAAAAAUAUAUUAUUACUACAUAUCACAAAGCAAUACUUAACAAAAAUCUGAUGUGUAGCAAAGCUGAAGAGAAGUAACCACUCUCAAAGCAUUAGACAACUAUAAACUCACCAAAUGAUUAAAAUAAAUAAUCUGCAAUCGCUUACCUAGUUUCUGAUAAAGAAGUGCUUCAUCAUUUGUGGCAGAAAAUGUUCUCUCACUACUAAUACUUUUACGAAACUUGACUUGAGGGGUAUCUGUCCUCCCAAGCCCUAGUCCCACAGAAAGAAAAAAAUCUGCAAUAAAUUAGCAACAAAAGCAUGAACUGAUGAAAAAUGUCUCCCAAUUCCUUAUGCCAUUUGUAUAACAUUGUCAUUUCAAAUGCAGAAAUUGCAUUCACCACACUGCACAUGCAGCCCGAACAGUAGCCAUUUGUUUCUAAACACCUGUGAUCCUUUUUAUUUUUCUGUAUUGAUUGUUGCUAUUAUCUCAAGGCUAUUCUCAUUGUUAUCUUACUACCUUCACAUGACAUAUUUCAUAGGAUUUCAGUGUGCCCAAAAAAAAUGCACUAACCUGCUGUAGAGUGAGAAAAUAGCGCGCAGAGGAAUCCACCCUUCUGCAGUAUCUCCUCACAUGUAUUAAUGCCUAAAACAUCCCUCAAAAUAUGUUCAGUGACCUUACCAAUGCCUCCAAUCUUCCUUAUAGGAAGUGAUGAUAUAAAUGUCAUGACAGCCAUCCGAUCAUUUGGUAAAACAAACUGUCCAUUGGGCUUAUUUAUAUCUGAGCAAACCUUUGCAAGUAAACGAUUUGGAGCCACUCCAGCACUACAUGUUAGACCAGUCUCCUCAUAGACUCUGGUUCUGAGUUCUUCAGCAACUUCUCCACCAGCAACGCCCCUUUCUUUGCACACACUAGUUAUAUCAAGAUACGCCUCAUCCAAACUAGCAGCCAUGAAAUGUGGAUCAUAUUUCUGGAAAACUUUUCUAGUUAAAUCACUGUAAUGAGUGUAUUUGUUGAAGUCUGUGGGAACAAAAAUUAAAUCUGGACAUAAUUUACGUGCAAUGAAUCCAGGCAUUGCAGCACGAACCCCAAAUUUCCUUGCCUCAUAAUUGGCAGUGGAGAUCAUGGACAUACUUCCAACAGCCAUUGGCUUGCCAGUUAACGAAGGGUCGCUUAAUGUUUCAACAGCUGCAUAGAAAGCAUCCAUAUCCACAUGUAGCCAAAUCCUUGAAAGAUCACGUGUGGAUUCUAGUUCUAAAAUUCUUUUAUCAGCCACCAUCUGGUAAUGAGAUACAUCAGCUGCUUUGAGCUUGGCACACUGGGCACGCAUGGUCUCAAUUUUCUGCCUCAUAUAGGCCUCCUUCCUUUCCUCAUUCUCAAAAUACUUUGAUCCUUUGCUCAUCUCAUACACUAUUCUCUGAACUUUCUCUUUGUCCACUCCCUCCAUACCUGCUUUAGCGUUAGUGUAAACAGUGUGAUAAGAUUGCCAUGGCCUAGGAUUUUCUCCUGAAGACGUAAUUUCACUCUUCUCCAUCUCUGACUCUAGCUGCUGGCUCUGAUUCAAAUACUUGCUCCACAAGGAGGAGGGAAAGUGCAAAUGGUGAAU
rnacentral:misc_RNA from 1 species